GACGAACGCUGGCGGCGUGCUUAACACAUGCAAGUCGAACGGAGCACCCCUGAAGGAGUUUUCGGACAACGGAUGGGAAUGCUUAGUGGCGGACUGGUGAGUAACGCGUGAGGAACCUGCCCUUCAGAGGGGGACAACAGUUGGAAACGACUGCUAAUACCGCAUGACACAUUUGAAUCGCAUGGUUUGAAUGUCAAAGAUUUAUCGCUGAAGGAUGGCCUCGCGUCUGAUUAGCUAGUUGGUGGGGUAACGGCCCACCAAGGCGACGAUCAGUAGCCGGACUGAGAGGUUGACCGGCCACAUUGGGACUGAGAUACGGCCCAG
rnacentral:rRNA from 1 species